rnacentral:rRNA from 1 species
GAUGAACGCUGGCGGCGUGCCUAAUACAUGCAAGUCGAGCGAACAGACGAGGAGCUUGCUCCUCUGACGUUAGCGGCGGACGGGUGAGUAACACGUGGAUAACCUACCUAUAAGACUGGGAUAACUUCGGGAAACCGGAGCUAAUACCGGAUAAUAUAUUGAACCGCAUGGUUCAAUAGUGAAAGACGGUUUUGCUGUCACUUAAAGAUGGAUCCGCGCCGCAUUAGCUAGUUGGUAAGGUAACGGCUUACCAAGGCAACGAUGCGUAGCCGACCUGAGAGGGUGAUCGGCCACACUGGAACUGAGACACGGUCCAGACUCCUACGGGAGGCAGCAGUAGGGAAUCUUCCGCAAUGGGCGAAAGCCUGACGGAGCAACGCCACGUGAGUGAUGAAGGUCUUCGGAUCGUAAAACUCUGUUAUUAGGGAAGAACAAAUGUGUAAGUAACUAUGCACGUCUUGACGGUACCUAAUCAGAAAGCCACGGCUAACUACGUG